rnacentral:rRNA from 1 species
AACGAACGCUGGCGGCAUGCCUAACACAUGCAAGUCGAACGAUGCCUUCGGGCAUAGUGGCGCACGGGUGCGUAACGCGUGGGAAUCUGCCUUUCGGUUCGGAAUAACUCAGGGAAACUUGAGCUAAUACCGGAUAACGUCGCAAGACCAAAGAUUUAUCACCGAAAGAUGAGCCCGCGUAGGAUUAGUUAGUUGGUGAGGUAAAGGCUCACCAAGGCGACGAUCCUUAGCUGGUCUGAGAGGAUGAUCAGCCACACUGGGACUGAGACACGGCCCAGACUCCUACGGGAGGCAGCAGUGGGGAAUAUUGGACAAUGGGCGAAAGCCUGAUCCAGCAAUGCCGCGUGAGUGAUGAAGGCCUUAGGGUUGUAAAGCUCUUUUACCCGGGAAGAUAAUGACGGUACCGGGAGAAUAAGCCCCGGCUAACUCCGUG